rnacentral:rRNA from 1 species
UUUUUACGGAGAGUUUGAUCCUGGCUCAGGAUGAACGCUGGCGGCGUGCUUAACACAUGCAAGUCGAACGAUGAAGCCCAG